AUGAGUUCUUGAAAAGUCUGAAAGUCAGUGUUGCAAGAGCUGUCGCACGGUUCGGAUGAGUGACCUAGCUCACAGUUCAGAAACAUAAAUCAAACACGUGGGAAUUAUUGGUUUAGGGAAUUGGGAAGCAAGAAAGACCAGUUUCAUUCCUUUAACGACAAAAAUUGUGAGCACAAGAAAAAAAAACGUUAGAAUUCUCGAGGGGCCGUCACCACGGAAUCCACCCACCUUUCCCGGGGUCUUCCUCUUCUUCUGGAGCCGUACAAGUUGAAAGAUUUUCAUAACUACUCUGUCUUCCAACAUUCGAAUCAAGUAUCCCAGCCAUCUUAUCCUUUGUGAUCUGAUAUAGUAGACUAUGGUUUUGCUAUUUGUAAUAUGUAUUUCUAUAGUGUAGGAUUCUGUAGCUCCGAUGAAAAUGUUUAUUAAAUAUGUAUAUUAAAAGUUUAUAAGAAGCUUGCUUAACCAGUUGGAUGUGGCAACCAUAUCGUUUUUUCCGUGUGGUAAUGAUGCAUAUAUGCGCGGAAAAAAAGUGCCACUACUGGUAAUGACGCAUAUAUGCGCACCAUGAAUAUUUCUUCCAAUGUUUAACGGAUUUGAAUAUAACUUGGUACACCCAUGCUUUUUGAAUCGCUGAAAACAGGUCUUAUCAGUUUUGGCACAAAACGUUGAUUUCGCAUUACCAGUGAACCGGUUAAGUGUUGAGUAGAUGUUUCAUUUGAGCUUUAAAACAUUUAUUAAAUUGUUUAUGAAAUGUAAAUUUAAACAUGGAAUUGUUUAUGGAGAUGUUCACGGUUACACGUUUGAUAGGCGUUCGGAAAGUGUUGUAUGGUGUUUCCGGAAUGUUGCAGUUUAGGCAGCAGUUCACAGCGCUGCCUAAAACACCUCGUGAAUAUUUGCAACACUUCAAAAACACGAACGCCUAUUCUUAAAUCUUAAUUAAAGUCAUCUAAAAUAAAUCUUAAAUUUAAGA